GAUGAACGCUGGCGGCGUGCCUAAUACAUGCAAGUCGAGCGAACGGACGAGAAGCUUGCUUUUCUGAUGUUAGCGGCGGACGGGUGAGUAACACGUGGAUAACCUACCUAUAAGACUGGGAUAACUUCGGGAAACCGGAGCUAAUACCGGAUAAUAUUUUGAACCGCAUGGUUCAAAAGUGAAAGACGGUCUUGCUGUCACUUAUAGAUGGAUCCGCGCUGCAUUAGCUAGUUGGUAAGGUAACGGCUUACCAAGGCAACGAUGCAUAGCCGACCUGAGAGCGUGGAGCACUACCGUGUCUCUGAGGCCGGGCCGAGACCCUCAGGGGGGGACGCAGUACGGACUCUUCCGGAAGGCGCGAGUGCGUAACGGUGCACCGCGGGGGGAGGCAUGACGUUGUCAGGCCCCUAAAAUUAUGUUAUUAGGAAGAAUGUUAUGUGCAUGCACCGGGGACCAUCUUGACGUUACCAAAACAAAAAGCCCCGGCUAACUCCGGG
rnacentral:rRNA from 1 species